UUCUUCUUCGUUAGCUCAUUUUCUUCCUUCUUUCACUUGCAGAAAAUCUUUCUUCCUUGCGAGCUUCUAGUUUCACGAUAAACAAAUUUCAAUUACAGUCUUGAAUUUUUUGAAAUUGUACUGUUAUUUCAGUUCAUUCAAUUACAUCUUCUCCAUUAGAGUAUCUAAUUUUAAUGGCGAAAGUUUUUGCUGCGAACAAAGGUACAAUCUAUAAAAUAAUUAUCAUUAUUUUGAUUAAUUUUUUUUUAUUAUUAUUUUUUUUUUCAUCCUUCUAUAGCCUUACUGUCUCCCUAAUUUAACUCCUUCAUAAAUGGCCUCCAGUUCUAUUCAUAGUAUAGUCUAAUGCAAGCAAUUGCUCCUCUCUGGUUCAUUUGUUUGUCCUUGAAAUACUCUACCAUUCAUCUCUCUCUCUCUCCAUAGUACAUACACUGUAGCAUUAACUACCAUCUCGUAUAGGUUAUUGCUGAAUGUAUCUUGCUUGAGUUGCUCUGUCAACCAUUUCUACUCUUGAACUGCAUGCAUCACAAACACUUCAAUUGCUGCCACACCAUUUAACCACUCCUUGUCAUUCAAAAAACAAUGCCAUAUAUUCUCCACGUAUGUCACUCUACUAGUGUGGGCAAAGAAAUGAUAAAAUUCACCUUGGCCGAGUUUUACAUGUUGUCAUUGCAUAUCUUAGGGCUAGUUGAACUGUCACGACUCAGGUUUCCUUGGCUUUGGGCUGGAACUUUAAUGACCCUGCAAAUACUGUUGUUAUCAUUAUAAGAGCACAAUAUUGGUGUUUUUUCUAAUAAUUUAUACACUUAUUUGUAUAGAUUUAUCAUUCUCUUUCUUUCUCUAAUUUGUUAUUUUACAAUUGUUUCUAAGGAGGUUUGAAGAGAAAUAGAAAACCUGAAAAGAAGGUUGACACAAACAAACGGUCAAGGAAGAAGAAUCGGGUGAGUGAAGCUAAGGUUUCUCGUAGUCCAAGUCCAAGUAUAUCACGUACCGGAACUCUUUUUUGUUUCUUUGCAUCCUUGUUCUAUAAUAUGCAUCAAU
rnacentral:lncRNA from 1 species